ACAAAAGGCCUCAAUAUCCCAAUGACGUCUAAUCCCCUCUGAUCCUGGAUGCUAAGCAGGGUCAGCCCUGGUUAGUAUUUGGAUGAGAGGCCGCCAAAGAAUGUGAGCUGUGAUUUGUU
rnacentral:rRNA from 11 species